GGGGCCGUGGCGGAGAGGUCGAACGCAGUAGUUUCGCAUGCUACCAAGGUGACAGGCCUUCAUCCCGGGUUCGAAUCCCGGCGGCCCCU
rnacentral:tRNA from 1 species